rnacentral:rRNA from 1 species
GAAUUUUACGCGAAGCUCUAGUUUUGUCAAGGUCGUGCGGACAGAUGGGUAGCUUGCUCCCUGAUGUUAGCGGCGGACGGGUGAGUAACACGUGGGUAACCUGCCUGUAAGACUGGGAUAACUCCGGGAAACCGGGGCUAAUACCGGAUGGUUGUUUGAACCGCAUGGUUCAGACAUAAAAGGUGGCUUCGGCUACCACUUACAGAUGGACCCGCGGCGCAUUAGCUAGUUGGUGAGGUAACGGCUCACCAAGGCAACGAUGCGUAGCCGACCUGAGAGGGUGAUCGGCCACACUGGGACUGAGACACGGCCCAGACUCCUACGGGAGGCAGCAGUAGGGAAUCUUCCGCAAUGGACGAAAGUCUGACGGAGCAACGCCGCGUGAGUGAUGAAGGUUUUCGGAUCGUAAAGCUCUGUUGUUAGGGAAGAACAAGUGCCGUUCAAAUAGGGCGGCACCUUGACGGUACCUAACCAGAAAGCCACGGCUAACUACGUGCCAGCAGCCGCGGUAAUACGUAGGUGGCAAGCGUUGUCCGGAAUUAUUGGGCGUAAAGGGCUCGCAGGCGGUUUCUUAAGUCUGAUGUGAAAGCCCCCGGCUCAACCGGGGAGGGUCAUUGGAAACUGGGGAACUUGAGUGCAGAAGAGGAGAGUGGAAUUCCACGUGUAGCGGUGAAAUGCGUAGAGAUGUGGAGGAACACCAGUGGCGAAGGCGACUCUCUGGUCUGUAACUGACGCUGAGGAGCGAAAGCGUGGGGAGCGAACAGGAUUAGAUACCCUGGUAGUCCACGCCGUAAACGAUGAGUGCUAAGUGUUAGGGGGGUUUCCGCCCCUUAGUGCUGCAGCUAACGCAUUAAGCACUCCGCCUGGGGGAGUACGGUCGCAAGACUGAAACUCAAAGGAAUUGACGGGGGGCCCGCACAAGCGGGUGGGAGCAUGGUGGGUUUAAAUUCGGAAGCAACGCGAAGAACCCUUACCAGGGUCUUGACAUCCUCUGAACAAUCCUAGAAGAAUAGGACGUCCCCCCUUCGGGGGGCCAGAGGUGACCAGUUGAUUGCAUGGAUUGUCGGUCAAGGCCUCCGGGUGGG